UUCUUUCAACAUUAUCAACCGCCUCUUUCUCUCUCUAUUCUUUUCCUUCACUGCUUCACACCGAAACCCUAGCCUCCGUGUUCCUUUGGCUUGAAGCUUCUACAUCUCAUUUUCUAUGAAAACAUACGCUUGUGCUUGAAUCGACUGAUAAAGGAAACACGCUUUGCCCUUUCCAAUUCCUGCUCUCAAACCCUACUGUCCGAAUACACAUCUUCCCCUUCACGUUUCCUGCCGAUCAAUCGAUUUAUCAAUCCUAUAAUAUACUAAUCUCAUCAAUGUUGAAAGCCAUCAUCAAUUUGGUGUAGAUGGGUAUUCAAGAAAAUAAAGGCAUAAGUGGGAGUUUGGGUUCGUUUCUUACUCGCAGAUGCUUUGGUUGUCUUAUGAGGGGCUACUUAGAAGGUUUUGGUGUGUGCUGCCUCCUUUAGAAGAAGAGGAUGUUCCUCAACUAUACCCAAAAGGGCCAAAUCUUGGUGAGUGAGCUUGAGAAACAGUUGAAAAUGGAGAUAAAAUCAAGAAACAGAGCCAGAGCCGAAAAGAUCUGGUAAAAGACAUAAUUUCUCUUUAGAUGAUGGUAAUUUAGGGUCUUUUGAUGAGGAUAUUUUUGGGUAGUCUAAUGAGAAUAAGAGUCAGAAAGAAAGAUGGAGCUGAAGAUCUUUUAAAAAAGAAGAUGACAAUGGGACAUUUGUCACGGAUAUCUUAAGCUUGAAAAUACACUGUUGGAAGUGCAGCUCCUCGUGUUAAAAAUACUUAAAAUAUGUGAUUUUGGGUAUUCAAAGUUUGAUCACAAAUGUUGCAGCCGCUCCUCUCACCGAUCGACCUGAUCACAAGUGCAGGAUUCCGGCGACAUUCGAUUAGGAUUCCGGUUAGGUCAAUUUGAAUUCAGCGAGUGGUUGCAAUUGAUAAGAUUUGAUUAGCAUGGAACAUCGAAAGGAUGAGGUUGUUGAGAGGAUCAACUUUAGAUCAUAAAAUGAUGCACUCAUAGCUGCGACUUCAAGAUGGAAAGGUUGAACAUGAUCAUACAAGAGAUGGUGAAAGAAAAAGAAGAGAAAGAAAGGUUGAACGGAAGGAUGACAAAUGUUGAACGAUGCUAAAAAUUAGGUAUCAAAACGUCUAAUCAUCGAGUUGGUUAUAAGCACUUUAUUUUGGAUAUGUAUUUUGUUCGGAGAACUCAUGUAUUUAAUUUGAUGUUUUAAGUGGAAUGCUUUAUA
rnacentral:lncRNA from 1 species